GACGAACGCUGGCGGCGUGCUUAACACAUGCAAGUCGAACGAUGAAGCCGGAGCUUGCUCUGGUGAAUUAGUGGCGAACGGGUGAGUAACACGUGAGUAACCUGCCCUUGACUCUGGGAUAACUGCUAGAAAUGGUAGCUAAUACCGGAUACGACCCUCGGAGGCAUCUCCAGGGGGUGGAAAGAAUUUCGGUCAAGGAUGGACUCGCGGCCUAUCAUCUAGUUGGUGAGGUAACGGCUCACCAAGGCGACGACGGGUAGCCGGCCUGAGAGGGUGACCGGCCACACUGGGACAGAGACGCGGCCCAGACUCCUACGGGAGGCAGCAAUGGGGAAUAUUGCACAAUGGGCGCAAGCCUGCUGCAGCAACGCCGCGUGAGGGAUGACGGCCUUCGGGUUGUAAACCUCUUUUAGUAGGGAAGAAGCGAAAGUGACGGUACCUGCAGAAAAAGCACCGGCUAACUACGUGCCAGCAGCCGCAGUAA
rnacentral:rRNA from 1 species